rnacentral:rRNA from 1 species
GACGUAGGUGGCAAGCGUUACUCGGAAUUACUAGGCGUAAAGCGCGCGCAGGUGGCGAUUUAAGUCAGUUGUCAAAUACCCUGGCUCAACUGGGGUCCGCGACUGAAACUGAAUCGCUCGAGUGGGGCAGAGGAAAUCGGAAUUCCCGGUGUAGCGGUGGAAUGCGUAGAUAUCGGGAGGAACACCAGAGGCGAAGGCGGAUUUCUGGGCCUUUACUGACACUGAGGCGCGAAAGCUAGGGGAGC